rnacentral:rRNA from 1 species
AGUAACGCGUGGAUAACCUGCCUUGCACUGGGGGAUAACACUUAGAAAUAGGUGCUAAUACCGCAUAAGCGCACAGAGCCGCAUGGCUCAGUGUGAAAAACUCCGGUGGUGUAAGAUGGAUCCGCGUCUGAUUAGCUGGUUGGCGGGGUAGAAGCCCACCAAGGCGACGAUCAGUAGCCGGCCUGAGAGGGUGAACGGCCACAUUGGGACUGAGACACGGCCCAAACUCCUACGGGAGGCAGCAG